CCCGGGAUUAGUCGGGAUGCUGUUCCUGGACAUCCAGUGCCAAUAAAAAAAAAAAUUGAAGAAAUUGGAACACUUUCUUCUAUAGGUAAUUCUCUCCUGGCCAAGUCUAAAGUUGUUUGAUUCACCAUUAGAUCAACUUUUCUGUUCCAUCGCUAUAUCGGCCAAAUUCACUUAUGUAGUUAAGACAACUAUGGAGUUUACAUUUGCUCUCAAAACCGUUCCUGAAAUGUCUGCUCAUUGUUAUCAAUAUUUUAUCCCGAGGAAGAUAUCUAUAUUUCAUUGCACUCUACGAAAGCAUGAGCACUUGUAUUUUUGUUGUUGCCUAUGUGUACACGUGUGGUUUUUUUUUUUUUUUUAAGAAGAGGACGGUAUCCCAAUUUAUUGAUAGCCCUCACUUAUGGUGGAGGAAUACCGUGGUUACGACUAGAUGCCUAGGGGUUACAUAUAAUUAUAGAAUCCAAACCCAGGCAUCAAAAUAAGAUAUAGACUAACUCAAACACUAUACAGUUAUUAAAUAAAAACAAACAGAACUCAAAUAUUAAUAAAUCAAUUAAAUCCAAAUAAAUAUGCAUAAAAACCGAAAAGUUGACUAAAAAAACGUGCAUAGAAACCUGCAUAAUCCAAUUUAGUCUUGCUGAAUAGCUUCAACAAAGAAUAAG